GAGUUUGAUCAUGGCUCAGAUUGAACGCUGGCGGCAGGCCUAACACAUGCAAGUCGAACGGUAACAGGAAGCAGCUUGCUGCUUCGCUGACGAGUGGCGGACGGGUGAGUAAUGUCUGGGAAGCUGCCUGAUGGAGGGGGAUAACUACUGGAAACGGUAGCUAAUACCGCAUAAUGUCGCAAGACCAAAGAGGGGGACCUUCGGGCCUCUUGCCAUCGGAUGUGCCCAGAUGGGAUUAGCUUGUUGGUGGGGUAACGGCUCACCAAGGCGACGAUCCCUAGCUGGUCUGAGAGGAUGACCAGCCACACUGGAACUGAGACACGGUCCAGACUCCUACGGGAGGCAGCAGUGGGGAAUAUUGCACAAUGGGCGCAAGCCUGAUGCAGCCAUGCCGCGUGUAUGAAGAAGGCCUUCGGGUUGUAAAGUACUUUCAGCGGGGAGGAAGGGAGUAAAGUUAAUACCUUUGCUCAUUGACGUUACCCGCAGAAGAAGCACCGGCUAACUCCGUGCCAGCAGCCGCGGUAAUACGGAGGGUGCAAGCGUUAAUCGGAAUUACUGGGCGUAAAGCGCACGCAGGCGGUUUGUUAAGUCAGAUGUGAAAUCCCCGGGCUCAACCUGGGAACUGCAUCUGAUACUGGCAAGCUUGAGUCUCGUAGAGGGGGGUAGAAUUCCAGGUGUAGCGGUGAAAUGCGUAGAGAUCUGGAGGAAUACCGGUGGCGAAGGCGGCCCCCUGGACGAAGACUGACGCUCAGGUGCGAAAGCGUGGGGAGCAAACAGGAUUAGAUACCCUGGUAGUCCACGCCGUAAACGAUGUCGACUUGGAGGUUGUGCCCUUGAGGCGUGGCUUCCGGAGCUAACGCGUUAAGUCGACCGCCUGGGGAGUACGGCCGCAAGGCUAAAACUCAAAUGAAUUGACGGGGGCCCGCACAAGCGGUGGAGCAUGUGGUUUAAUUCGAUGCAACGCGAAGAACCUUACCUGGUCUUGACAUCCACGGAAGUUUUCAGAGAUGAGAAUGUGCCUUCGGGAACCGUGAGACAGGUGCUGCUUGGCUGUCGUCAGCUCGUGUUGUGAAAUGUUGGGUUAAGUCCCGCAACGAGCGCAACCCUUAUCCUUUGUUGCCAGCGGUCCGGCCGGGAACUCAAAGGAGACUGCCAGUGAUAAACUGGAGGAAGGUGGGGAUGACGUCAAGUCAUCAUGGCCCUUACGACCAGGGCUACACACGUGCUACAAUGGCGCAUACAAAGAGAAGCGACCUCGCGAGAGCAAGCGGACCUCAUAAAGUGCGUCGUAGUCCGGAUUGGAGUCUGCAACUCGACUCCAUGAAGUCGGAAUCGCUAGUAAUCGUGGAUCAGAAUGCCACGGUGAAUACGUUCCCGGGCCUUGUACACACCGCCCGUCACACCAUGGGAGUGGGUUGCAAAAGAAGUAGGUAGCUUAACCUUCGGGAGGGCGCUUACCACUUUGUGAUUCAUGACUGGGGUGAAGUCGAAACAAGGUA
rnacentral:rRNA from 1 species